rnacentral:rRNA from 1 species
CCUACGGGUGGCAGCAGUGGGGAAUAUUGCACAAUGGGCGCAACCCUGAUGCAGCGACGCCGCGUGAGUGAAGAAGUAUUUCGGUAUGUAAAGCUCUAUCAGCAGGGAAGAAAUGAAGUCCUUCGGACUUUGGUCGUUACCUGACUAAGAAUCCGCGGCUAACUACUUGCCAGCAGCCGCCGUAAUACGUAGGGGGCAAGGGUUAUCCGGAUUUACUGGGUGUAAAGGGAGCGUAGACGGCAGGGCAAGUCGGUAGUGAAAGCCCAUGGCUUAACCAUGGAACUGCUUUGGAAACUGUGAAGCUGGAGUGCAGUAGAGGUAAGCGGAAUUCCUAGUGUAGCGGUGAAAUGCGUAGAUAUUAGGAGGAACACCAGUGGCGAAGGCGGCUUACUGGACUGCCACUGACGUUGAGGCUCGAAAGCGUGGGGAGCAAACAGGAUUAGAUACCCUAGUAGUC